UAUUAUUAAGGGCAAACCUGUCUAAAGACAAGGGACGCAAAGCCAUAGGGUCUAAAGUGCUAUAGCGGUACUAUGAUAGCCUGGUUGCAUAG
rnacentral:ncRNA from 1 species